rnacentral:misc_RNA from 1 species
CUCAAAGGGAUAAUAUCGCAAUCUUUGGGCCGUUUGGAUAAACUGAAAUCGCUUGAUCUCUCUUGCAAUCAUCUUCAAGGUGGAUUGCCUAUGGAGUUCUCAAGCUUGAAGCAGCUGGAGGUUGUUGAUUUGAGCCAUAACAUGUUGUCAGGACGGGUUUCUGGGGUGCUUUCUGGUUUGUUGUCUAUGCAGUCACUGAAUAUUUCUAGCAAUCUGUUCAAAGAGGAUUUGUUUGAACUUGGGGGAUUUCCAAAUCUUCUUGUAUUCAAUGUGAGCAACAAUUCAUUUACUGGCCGAAUCCCUCCCCACAUUUGCAGCUCCUCUAGUGGGAUUCGGUUUCUUGAUUUGUCAAUGAACCAUCUUGUUGGCAAUCUUGAAGGCUUGGAUAAUUGCAGCACAUCUCUCCAGCAAUUGCAUUUGGAUUCCAAUUCACUUUCAGGCUCUCUUCCGGAUUCUUUGUACUCACUGUCAGCUCUGCAGCAAUUCUCAAUCUCCAACAACAACUUAUCUGGCCAGUUAAGCAAAGAAUUGAGUAAGCUUUCUAGCCUCAGAACCUUGGUUAUUUAUGGAAACCGGUUUUCAGGCUAUAUUCCAAACGUGUUUGGUAACCUUACCCAGCUAGAACAACUUGUUGCACAUUCAAAUAUGUUUUCCGGGCCAUUACCUUCAACACUGGCAUUAUGCACAGAGCUCUGCAUACUUGACCUGAGAAAUAAUUCUCUAACUGGUCCAAUCGAUCUUAAUUUCACNNNNNNNNNNUGGUACUCUUGAUCUUGCCAGUAAUCAUUUGUUUGGCCCCCUUCCAAAUUCCCUGUCUGAU